rnacentral:rRNA from 1 species
UGGGGAAUAUUGGGCAAUGGACGAAAGUCUGACCCAGCAACGCCGCGUGAAGGAAGAAGGCUUUCGGGUUGUAAACUUCUUUUAAGGGGGAAGAGUAGAAGACGGUACCCCUUGAAUAAGCCACGGCUAACUACGUGCCAGCAGCCGCGGUAAUACGUAGGUGGCAAGCGUUGUCCGGAUUUACUGGGUGUAAAGGGUGCGUAGGCGGUUUGAUAAGUUAGUGGUCAAAUGUCAGGGCUAAACCUUGGCUUGCCAUUAAAACUGUCAGACUCGAGUACAGACGAGGUAGGCGGAAUAAGUUAAGUAGCGGUGAAAUGCAUAGAUAUAACUUAGAACUCCGAUAGCGAAGGCAGCUUACCAGACUGUCACUGACGCUGAUGCACGAGAGCAUGGGUAGCAAACA